UUCAGACAAAGCUUUGCUUCUGGGCUCAUUUCCAUCUCUUCAGUGAAGGUCUGGCCGUGCACUUCGUGGAAAAUAUCCAGGCGGAUUUUGGUACGCUUCUGUAUGUUCAGGCUGGAAGAUUCAUAAUUUCAGGAGGAUUCAAAGAACUUUUAAUUAUUGCGAAGAAUCUGAAGGAUAAAGCAGGAGAGUUAUUCCCCCCUUAGGCUCCACGACAGGACUCACCGCUCUUGUCACCGAGAGGAAUCUGUCAUAGCUAAUCAACACGAUGUUGAAGACUGAGGAGGUGCAGAGCAGUUGGUGAUAUUCCAGGAUGAAUCCAUAGAAGGCAGGAGUGGAAUCAUCUUCAUGGGUGCCUUGUCACCAGGGUAGGAUCAGCUCACCACGAUCACCACCCCUGGAGAACAGCGUGGGGCUGUGCAGAGCAGCAAGACUGGAAACCAGGGAAAGAUACUGGCUGGAGACCCUGUCCAAGCAUCUUUCUUUCUGGGGAAUCUCGAGAAGUUGUGUAAGUCUUUGAAAAACAGAGAUCAAAAAAGGCAAAGCAAGGAAAUUCUGCAAAUCCAGAAACAUGCAUGAAGUCAAUGCCCAGUGGGUUUGCUGCCUUCUGAUUACUUCAAAAGCUAUUUUCACAUCAGGAACCAUUACAGCCUCACAAAACUCCUCUUCAAACCCACCACUACGGCCACUGUCUUGAUAGCAGGUGCUAAUCCUCCUGCGAGGAGGCUGAAAGGGCUCUUUUAAAUCACGAUAAAUAAUUUGCAGCCAGGAGAUCCAGGACAUGAGAGCACUUUUCAGCUCAACGCAGGCAGAGAGCCUGACAAGUGCUCCUGCAGGAGUGGCCUUUGGUGGCACCUGCCAACAGGUGGCCUCCAAGAGGGACCAGACUCACUCUGUCCCUUGACUUGCCCAGCACGGAGACAACACACUGGCUCCAUGUUUAGAUCCAGGCUGUCUUUUUCCAGGUGCUGUGCAGGGGCAGCACAGGCAGGCUGUGCCCAAUGGGCAGGCACUUGGUGUGUCCCCUUCCUCAGGCAGCCAAGUGUCCCCAAGCCACUCCACUGCCACAUCCCGACGGAGGAUGUCACUGUGGGCUUGUGGGAGCUGCGGGUGGGAGAGCAGAGGACGCUGCGUGGGUGGGUGACAAUCUCCUGGUCGGUGGGACAACGGCGGUGCACCCAUGCGAGGCUUUGAAGAACGUCAUGGGUGGCUUCAGCGCUGCCUUGAGGGAGAUCAGACCUACCCACACACCGGCUUGCGUUCCGCCCAGGGCAGCUCGCAGCUCGCUGUGCAGCUGCAGCGUGUCGCAGCAGAGAGGAACAGAAUUUAGUGCCCAUCAUUUCAGAUGUGACGGAGAAAGGGUGCUGUUUUCCACCCCCUUGUUUAAUGAACCCACAGACCACAUUCAUUCUGUGACUGUUUGUGAUCUGGUGGUGUUUGUAAUCUCCAGCUAUUCAGACGAUCAUUAGUAUUCAUUGAAAUGUUUACAAAUGCCAAAUUAUUGUGUGCAUGUUGCAGCGCUAUCACUGGGAGCUGUUUGCUGUUUGUGAGUUGUCAUUCAUUAUUCAGAGUUUUCACCACCCAGACAGAAAGCAGAAACUGUACCUUGUACCUAAGGUAAUUUAUAAAGUGAUUUGCAAAAGAUAACAUAGACAAAUCUGAAUUAUUGUUUAUCCAGAGUAAUUUGUCAGGAGCUUUAUAUAAAUAAGAGAUGACAGAGCUGAGCAGACUGUAGUUUUCCUGGUUGUGAAGUUUCUCCCUUGCUCCAGCAGAUGGAUAAAUGUAUUUCUAAUGUAUUUCAGGAAACAUGCUAUCUUGGUACUAAAAGAAAGGAAAUCUCCCAAACUGGAAGGGAUAGUUAAAGCAGAAUCACACGCAGACAUGCAAGCAGAUGGUAAGAGAGCUAGUGUUUUGACCAGGCUUAGGCACUGCAUAUGCCAUGUGUAGAUAUGCCAUAUGUUCAUAAGUGCUUAUAUAUGUUCCUAUAGGGUGUAUU